rnacentral:rRNA from 1 species
UUGAACGCUGGCGGCAGGCCUAACACAUGCAAGUCGAACGGUAGCACAGAGAGCUUGCUCUUGGGUGACGAGUGGCGGACGGGUGAGUAAUGUCUGGGAAACUGCCCGAUGGAGGGGGAUAACUACUGGAAACGGUAGCUAAUACCGCAUAACGUCGCAAGACCAAAGUGGGGGACCUUCGGGCCUCACACCAUCGGAUGUGCCCAGAUGGGAUUAGCUUGUUGGUGAGGUAAUGGCUCACCAAGGCGACGAUCCCUAGCUGGUCUGAGAGGAUGACCAGCCACACUGGAACUGAGACACGGUCCAGACUCCUACGGGGGGCAGCAGUGGGGAAUAUUGGACAAUGGGCGCAAGCCUGAUGCAGCCAUGCCGCGUGUAUGAAGAAGGCCUUCGGGUUGUAAAGUACUUUCAGCGAGGAGGAAGGCAUUGUGGUUAAUAACCGCAGUGAUUGACGUUACUCGCAGAAGAAGCACCGGCUAACUCCGUGC